rnacentral:rRNA from 1 species
UUGGGCCUAAACGUCCGUAGCCGGUCUGAUACAUUCGUGGGUAAAUCAACCAGCUUAACUGGUUGAAUUCUGCGAGGACGGUCAGACUUGGGACCGGGAGAGGUGUGGGGUACGCUCAGGGUAGGGGUAAAAUCCUGUCAUCCUGAGCGGACCACCUGUUGCGAAGGCGCCACACUAGAACGGAUCCGACGGUCAGGGACGAAGCCUAGGGGCACGAACCGGAUUAGAUACCCGGGUAGUCCUAGGUGUAAACGCUGUGGACUUGAUGUUGGGGGUGCUCCGAGCACUCUCAGUGUCGAAGCGAAGGUGAUAAGUCCACUGCCUGGGAAGUACGGUCGCAAGGCUGAAACUUAAAGGAAUUGGCGGGGGAGC